AAGCAAAGAACAUAAUAUAAUCGAUUUGGUCAAAAAAGAAUAAUAAAAAAGCAUAAAAUCGACUUUGUUUGGGUUGUAUUCAGUAUUCAGAGAACCAGGUCUCAUUUUUUUGGGGUUUUUUUUUUUUUUGGUUUAGACAAUUAGAAAACGAGGUUUACUUGAUGAAAAAAGAAACUAUGAGCUUAGAGUUUAAGAUAAUAUUAUCAAAACUGCCCACAGAAGAAGUAAGACUUAACGACCGGCGUAACCGGUCUCCUGUCAUGACUAUAACAAGCCGGGCCGUCAAAAUCGUUGACUCAGUUAACCACAUCAUUUUUGUAUUUUAUUUUUCUUUAUUUUUUGUUAUAUAAAAUUAUAAAUU
rnacentral:lncRNA from 1 species